rnacentral:rRNA from 1 species
AACGCUUUGCGGUUCAACUGAUUUGAAGAGCUUGCUCAGAUAUGACGAUGGACAUUGCAAAGAGUGGCGAACGGGUGAGUAACACGUGGGAAACCUACCUCUUAGCAGGGGAUAACAUUUGGAAACAGAUGCUAAUACCGUAUAACAAUGACAACCGCAUGGUUGUUAUUUAAAAGAUGGUUCUGCUAUCACUAAGAGAUGGUCCCGCGGUGCAUUAGCUAGUUGGUAAGGUAAUGGCUUACCAAGGCGAUGAUGCAUAGCCGAGUUGAGAGACUGAUCGGCCACAAUGGGACUGAGACACGGCCCAUACUCCUACGAGAGGCAGCAGUAGGGAAUCUUCCACAAUGGGCGAAAGCCUGAUGGAGCAACGCCGCGUGUGUGAUGAAGGGAUUCGGCUCGUAAAACACUGUUGUAAGAGAAGAAUGACAUUGAGAGUAACUGUUCAAUGUGUGACGGUAUCUUACCAGAAAGGAACGGCUAAAUACGUGCCAGCAGCCGCGGUAAUACGUAUGUUCCAAGCGUUAUCCGGAUUUAUUGGGCGUAAAGCGAGCGCAGACGGUUAUUUAAGUCUGAAGUGAAAGCCCUCAGCUCAACUGAGGAACUGCUUUGGAAACUGGAUGACUUGAGUGCAGUAGAGGAAAGUGGAACUCCAUGUGUAGCGGUGAAAUGCGUAGAUAUAUGGAAGAACACCAGUGGCGAAGGCGGCUUUCUGGACUGUAACUGACGUUGAGGCUCGAAAGUGUGGGUAGCAAACAGGAUUAGAUACCCUGGUAGUCCACACCGUAAACGAUGAGUGCUAGGUGUUUGAGGGUUUCCGCCCUUAAGUGCCGCAGCUAACGCAUUAAGCACUCCGCCUGGGGAGUACGACCGCAAGGUUGAAACUCAAAGGAAUUGACGGGGACCCGCACAAGCGGUGGAGCAUGUGGUUUAAUUCGAAGCAACGCGAAGAACCUUACCAGGUCUUGACAUCCCUUGACAACUCCAGAGAUGGAGCGUUCCCUUCGGGGACAAGGUGACAGGUGGUGCAUGGUUGUCGUCAGCUCGUGUCGUGAGAUGUUGGGUUAAGUCCCGCAACGAGCGCAACCCUUAUUACUAGUUGCCAGCAUUCAGUUGGGCACUCUAGUGAGACUGCCGGUGACAAACCGGAGGAAGGUGGGGAUGACGUCAAAUCAUCAUGCCCCUUAUGACCUGGGCUACACACGUGCUACAAUGGCGUAUACAACGAGUUGCCAACCCGCGAGGGUGAGCUAAUCUCUUAAAGUACGUCUCAGUUCGGAUUGUAGGCUGCAACUCGCCUACAUGAAGUCGGAAUCGCUAGUAAUCGCGGAUCAGCACGCCGCGGUGAAUACGUUCCCGGGUCUUGUACACACCGCCCGUCACACCAUGAGAGUUUGUAACACCCAAAGCCGGUGGGGUAACCUUCGGGAGCCAGCCGUCUAAGGUGGUACAGGUGUUCCC